rnacentral:lncRNA from 1 species
AGUAUAAACUAUGUACGGGAUAAAGAAGCUCAUGUAAUGAGCUAGCAGCCAGCGACAAAAGACGAGCAAAAGACGAAGAGGCAGAUCGUCGGAUAAUAUGGAGUCUCUAAGGUCGAUGGGCAAAGACAAAUACUGAGGGUAAUAGAGGAAGACUCACAUCUUGGGAAAGAUACUAUUUAUUAGCAUCAAUAUCAUUACAAACAUCCUCAUCAAGAAUGGUUCUUGCGCAGUUCCUUCUUGCCUCACUCGUCUCUAACCAGUCAAGGCUUAAAUUCGCAGUGUAAUUUAUUACCUUCAGGACCAAUAUCCUCAUCAAGAAAGAUAAUUUAAUUCACCGUCAAGGUUAGAUUUCAAAGAAAACUGACCUUGAUGAUUACAGACACUCCCCUCGCUAUACACGCAACUUCCUAAACUGCGAAUUUAAACCUUGACGUAAGAAGGGACUUCCCCAAGAACCAUUCUUGAUAAUAACGUCCGUUCUGACAUUGAUGCUAAUAGAUAGCAUCUUCUCUAAGAAAUGAGUCUUCUUCUUCUAUUAGCCUCAUUACCUGCCUGCGUACAAUCCUCCCACCGAUUCUUGAG